UACAGAGGUCCCAAGCGUUGUUCGGAUUCAUUGGGCGUAAAGGGUGCGUAGGCGGUGGGGUAAGUUGGAUGUGAAAUCUUGGGGCUUAACCUCAAAAUUGCAUUCAAUACUGCUCCGCUCGAGUUCUGUAGAGGAGAUUGGAAUUUACGGUGUAGCAGUGAAAUGCGUAGAGAUCGGGAGGAACAUCUGUGGCGAAGGCGGCCAUCUGGACCAGCACUGACACUGAGGCACGAAAGCGUGGGGAGCAAACAGG
rnacentral:rRNA from 1 species